CCUACGGGAGGCAGCAGUGGGGAAUAUUGCGCAAUGGGCGAAAGCCUGACGCAGCGACGCCGCGUGAGGGAUGAAGGUCUUCGGAUCGUAAACCUCUGUCAGCAGGGAAGAACGGUCACUGUGCUAAUCAGCAGUGAAUUGACGGUACCUGCAAAGGAAGCACCGGCUAACUCCGUGCCAGCAGCCGCGGUAAUACGGAGGGUGCGAGCGUUAAUCGGAAUUACUGGGCGUAAAGCGCGCGUAGGCGGUAUGUCAAGUCAAGGGUGAAAUCCCCGCGCUCAACGUGGGAACUGCCUUUGAAACUGGCAAACUGGAGUGUGUGAGAGGAUAGUGGAAUGCCAGGUGUAGGAGUGAAAUGCGUAGAUAUCUGGAGGAACAUCAGUGGCGAAGGCGACUAUCUGGCACAUAACUGACGCUGAGGAGCGAAAGCGUGGGUAGCAAACAGGAUUAGAUACCCUUGUAGUC
rnacentral:rRNA from 1 species